AUUUUGGUAGAUGGAUUUUUCACAUUUUCCCUGCAGCAACUAGAAGCCUCUGGAGAACCUUAUUUGUGGCGGUCGCUGUUGUGCAGGGGAAAGACCAGAGGGGAAGGAGAGUUUCAGAAAAAGAAGUCGACUUGGACAUUUGACCAAUAUAGAGUGACAGCAGGAAGACAUCCUUGAUCUUCAUGAAAAAUUUCUCCAGCGAUGUUGCCUCUGUAGUGGACAGUUAAUGCCAGGAUUCCCCAAAUCCUGCCCUUUUCCACUUGGACUCUCCAGUUACUGCAGUGGGCUCACUCUCCAUGGCAAGAUUGUGUUUGGCAGGGCUUGCCCUUCCCUGGGCUCCUCACCACCAGAGCACUCCUGCCCUGACAUCAGUCCAAUGACCAGACACCACAGUCGGUUGUGGAAUAGGUGGUGUUCAUUCUAAAUAUUACAAUUGCUGGCCCAAUCCAUUUUCUUUCCUGCUCAAGCCAAACUACAACAGAUAAAAUGUAUUAGCCACUUGUUAAAUAUUUCUUGACUCUGAUAUGCCUCUAUCAGAGACCUGUAUUCAUGAAAACACUCAUAGAUGAGCCAAGAAGACAACAUUGUAUGGCAACUACCGCAUUCUCCUAUCCUUCCAUGCACUUCCUGUUUAUUGCUUAGGACUUGAUCAACCUGUAUCUAUUACUGCCUGGGGCACAUCAGAGUCACCCAAAAUCCUGUUAGAUGACUAUGUUGAAAGAGUUGCUCCUGCAUAGGAUGGGGGACAAAUUUUGGACCACUGAGUGGCACGGUUGUCCUACCCCAAGGAAUUGGGAAGCAACUGGAAGGAGGGCAAAAGGGAAAGUAUGUCUGGUCAGAAAUACACGCACAAGGAGUCUCAACUGGAAAGUUUACAGUGAGGGAAGAAACACUGAAGAGAACUGUAAUCCCUUGAAACUGCCUGAACCUAAUACAAGGGACACUUUCAGGGGACACGUUGGGAAGAGUUGAAGCCACAAUUGGAUUUGUUACCUGAAGUCAGGGUUGGAUACAGGAAAAUGGUUGAGCAGAAGCAAAAGAGAAACAUGAGAAGAGCUCAGGACUUGGGGAGAAGAGAAGUGCCGCAGUCAGGCUGGGCACAAAUAACCGGGAGGUCAAGCCACUUGUACAUUCAAGCAGGAAUGAACUUUAUUUUCAAACUCACACAAACGCCACCCACGCAACCCUCCAGAAACUCUGCGCGCUCUCAACCGGAACUCAACCAACCACGCGAACUCUCUAGGAACCUCGCGAGAGCUCAACCGGAACUCAACAGGAACUCCGCGAGAACUCAAAAAUAGCGGGCACCAGAGACAGCAGGAACCGCCUCCUUCUGGCAAAAUGCCAGGCACCAUCUUGACCUGGCCGUGGCUCUCAACAGAGAAGGAGGAAUAAACUCUUAAGGUCAACUCAAACAAGAACCAAAGACCCAAGUGUUGGGUGGGUAGAGGUCGACCAUGUACCUUGGUCAAGUCCCUCAUUUCCUUGCUGGAGGGGUGGAAAUCAUUUCAAGGAGAGGAUCUUGGCACCGACCACAGUCUGCUAGGUCAAGCAAUGACAGCAGAGAGGUUACAAACUGCCCUGGUGUGCUGGCUUCCCUGUGGAGAGAGCGACAUAAGCACAGAUCCUGGCUAGUAGGGUUUUCUCCGGACUCCACGCCCACCAGGUCCCAGAGUUUCUGCUCACAACAGCGGAAAACAAUUACCAAAGAUACAAGGUGAGGAUGCUGUAUUAUUUAUACACCGACUGCCCACCUCUAGACCUUCUAGACAGCAACGUCAGUGUUUUCUACCCAACAAUAAAAAUUUGUGAAUGGCCAUUUAUUUGCAGAAAUAAACAUAAUCUCAAAAGGACUGUA